rnacentral:sRNA from 2 species
UCCCACAGCGGAGACGCAUCUGUCUCUAUUUUCGAUGGAGCAUCUUCCGCUCGCGCGGAGUCCACCCAGUCUUCCCCUGUUUCUCGCUUGUAUUGCCUCAUUAAUAGCUCUCGUUCGGUGUCAUAUAUCUCGGACUGGCCACGGCUGAGCAGGAUAUCUGCAGCCCCAGUGACAUCCUCGAUAACACGCUUGCGAGCUAUUUCAGCUGGAUCAUCUUCGCCCAUUUCUUCAUCUUCCGUGCCGUUCUUGCUACCCCUCUGUCGGUUUCUAUUUCUGUUCUGCCACUUAGGCUUCUGUCUGACACAUUUUCCCAGCCUUGCGAGUGACUCUAAGAUUGUCUCACCCCCCAAAUUUCUGAUUAAUGUGUGCAAGACAUCUGCUGUGAGGACACUAUCCUGUUCAAGUUGUAUCUUUCGCCGUUCCUCUUCCCUCUUCUCUGCCGCCUCCCUAGCCUUCCGCAUGUCUUUUCUCGACACACCUUCCAGCCAGGUAUCAUGAAUAGCAUCUGGAUCUGCAGCUUUGCGAACAAAGUUUCCGGCCUCGUCAAAGCGCCCCUCCUCCUGCUCCGCUCGCAUAUUGAAGGCAUCUAAUAGUGGCACGUGUGUUUUUUUUCCGCCAGCCCCCAGCUCUUCGUCCACGUCUGACCCGACCCUGGCGCGUUCUUGUUCGUCGACUUCGCUUUCACUCUCUCCUUCCUCACCUAGUGACACUUGAAUCAUUUUGCCGUGACUAUCCAGAUCAAGAGUAACAGUUCCCCCGGCGCGAGAAUCAUGUACCUGUCCCUCAAUCUCAUCAUCCUGUAGGAAACGGACUUGCUUCUUGUUACCCGGGGUUGUAACAUCGUCUGAUCUACCAGUAGCAAAGUCCUCUUCUAACUCUGCGAACAUAUCAUCUGUAUCUCCAGAGGCAUUUUUCAUAUUAGCUCUAGAUUUAGCCUCUACGCGGGCAUCAAACCCCCCAUUGUCACUGUCAGAAUCAUAGCCCUCAAUGUUGACUGCGUUACGCCGCACUCGGCGUCCUCGAUGACCAAUUUCGUCGGCAUCCAGGACCGCGUCCUCCUCUAAGGCGUCUGGGGCUAAUGCGGACGGAUUUCGAGGGUCAAACCGAACUCUUUUUGAAGAUGUCGGCC